AGAGUUUGAUCAUGGCUCAGAAUGAACGUUGGCGGCGUGGAUUAGGCAUGCAAGUCGUACGCACAGCUUCGGCUGUGAGUGGCGCAAGGGUGAGUAAUGCGAAGGUAACCAACCCUGGUGUUGGGCAUAACCGCGGGAAACUGCGGGUAAUUCCCAGCGACGUCGCGAGAUGGCAUCAUCUUGCGACCAAAGGUGUGAUUCCGCUCUAGGACGGGCCUUCGUGGUAUUAGGUAGUUGGUGAGGUAACGGCUCACCAAGCCGACGAUGCCUACCGGGUGUGAGAGCAUGACCCGGCACACUGGAACUGAGACACUGUCCAGACACCUACGGGUGGCUGCAGUCGAGAAUCUUCGGCAAUGGGCGAAAGCCUGACCGAGCGACGCCGCGUGAGGGAAGAAGGCCUUCGGGUUGUAAACCUCUUUCGUAGAGGAGGAAGGGGCCGUGCAGAGCGGUCUUUGACCUAUUCUAGGAAGAAGCUUGGGCUAAGUUCGUG
rnacentral:rRNA from 1 species